rnacentral:rRNA from 1 species
GUAGGGAAUAUUGGACAAUGGGGGGAACCCUGAUCCAGCCAUGCCGUGUGGAGGAAGACUGCCCUCUGGGUUGUAAACUCCUUUUAUAUGGGAAGAACCGUCCUCAUUAAUGAGUGACCUGACGGUACCAUAGGAAUAAGCACCGGCUAACUCCGUGCCAGCAGCCGCGGUAAUACGGAGGGUGCAAGCGUUAUCCGGAUUCACUGGGUUUAACGGGUGCGUAGGCGGAUAAAUAAGUCAGUGGUGAAAUCAACGGGCUCAACCUGUUAACUGCCAUUGAUACUGUGUAUCUUGAAUAUGAGAGAGGUAGGCGGAAUGUUGCAUGUAGCGGUGAAAUGCUUAGAUAUGCUACGGAACACCGAUUGCGAAGGCAGCUUACUAUUUCGUAAUUGACGCUGAGGCACGAAAGCGUGGGUAGCGAACAGGAUUAGAAACCCGGGUAGUCC